AACAUACCUAAUAUAAGUAGUCAUCUAAUUGGCAAAAAAAAACCCUAAAAGUAUUCUUCCUUUGUAUUCGUCAUUCGGUUCGUCUGUGCAGUGUACCCCUCACUCAUCUGAACUGGCCUGCCAGUUGUGUGUAGUGGAGAGAAACUGAAUGACUGAAAUUCAGAUGAAACUGCACUGAAAAAGGUUUUCAUAGUCUGGCGCACUUUGAGAUUACAAAUGUUGCUCCAUUUUCCAUUGAGAAAAAUAGGUCUUUCAUAUACUGACAGUAAAAAGGACACCAAAAGCGCAAGUAAAAUGUUAUACUGGACAGGACACAUUUUGUGGAGUAGCUGAGACUGGGUUUGUUGUCUACAGCUGCUACAUGUAGCUUUUCAAUAAGAGCACUCUAUUUUCCAACAAAAAAAUUGUUUCUGUCUUUCCUGAAUGGGGAAAAAGCCUGUCAGCCCCCCUGAGCACAUCUUACUGCAGGAGGACCAAAUGUGAGCAGACUGGGGCUGAACCAGCCCCCCCAUACAUGUCUCACUGUGGUUCCUAGAUUCACAGGAAUUCUGCAAUUCGAUGUCAGUGUGCUGAUAUUUGUAUCCUGAGGUUAAUUCAGCAGCAGUACAAUGCUCUGUCUUGGCCCUAGGGGAGAUAAACGGGAGGACAGCAGCAAGGUGUUUGUUGCACCUGGAGCCUUCUUUGCGCAUGGACAGACAACACUUCUGCAGUGAAGUAGCAAAGACUGCUGCCUUUCUGAAAGAAAACCUCAGGAAGUGAUUAACAAUUGCUACACGCUCAUAUGGGAAUCUUCAGGUGAUCAAAUAACCCCUAGGCUGAAAUCUACCUGUUGUUCAGUUUGGCUUCGACCAUAUGGAGAGAGUUUUAUCAGGUUAUUUGUUUGCAAAGCACCAUGCACACUGACUGGGCCUUAUAAAUCUGAAGUGUUUCAGAAGACUUCGGAUGGUUCAUUACUUACGGGAUCGUUAAAGCCAGGAGAUAGACAAUAAAUAUCCUCCUAAAUCACCCAGCCCAGCCCCUGGCAGCGGGCUAUCUCUUUCCGUGCUCAUCGCAGGCCACUUCACCUU
rnacentral:lncRNA from 1 species